UUAGCCAAGAAUGGCUUGCCUAUCUCCACUAUUUGGUUCAUCACUGGAACCAAAUUGGGGUUCAGAUGGUGCAUCAAAUGUGGAAGAUGGUGAGCCUUCAUGGCUAAGA
rnacentral:pre_miRNA from 1 species